rnacentral:rRNA from 1 species
UCGAGCGCGGGAAGCAAGCAGAACCCCUUCGGGGGUGACGCAUGUGGAACGAGCGGCGGACGGGUGAGUAACACGUGGGCAACCUGCCUGUAAGACUGGGAUAACUCCGGGAAACCGGGGCUAAUACCGGAUAAUACGUUUUCUUGCAUAAGGAGACGUUAAAAGGCGGCGCAAGCUGUCACUUACAGAUGGGCCCGCGGCGCAUUAGCUAGUUGGUGGGGUAAAAGCCUACCAAGGCGACGAUGCGUAGCCGACCUGAGAGGGUGAUCGGCCACACUGGGACUGAGACACGGCCCAGACUCCUACGGGAGGCAGCAGUAGNGGAAUCUUCCGCAAUGGACGAAAGUCUGACGGAGCAACGCCGCUUGAGUGAAGAAGGUUUUCGGAUCGUAAAACUCUGUUGUUAGGGAAGAACAAGUGCCGUUCAAAUAGGGCGGCACCUUGACGGUACCUAACCAGAAAGCCCCGGCUAACUACGUGCCAGCAGCCGCGGUAAUACGUAGGGGGCAAGCGUUGUCCGGAAUUAUUGGGCGUAAAGCGCGCGCAGGCGGUCUUUUAAGUCUGAUGUGAAAGCCCACGGCUUAACCGUGGAGGGCCAUUGGAAACUGGAGGACUUGAGUACAGAAGAGGAGAGUGGAAUUCCACGUGUAGCGGUGAAAUGCGUAGAGAUGUGGAGGAACACCAGUGGCGAAGGCGACUCUCUGGUCUGUAACUGACGCUGAGGUGCGAAAGCGUGGGUAGCGAACAGGAUUAGAUACCCUGGUAGUCCACGCCGUAAACGAUGAGUGCUAGGUGUUAGGGGGUUUCCGCCCCUUAGUGCUGCAGUUAACGCAUUAAGCACUCCGCCUGGGGAGUACGGCCGCAAGGCUGAAACUCAAAAGAAUUGACGGGGACCCGCACAAGCGGUGGAGCAUGUGGUUUAAUUCGAAGCAACGCGAAGAACCUUACCAGGUCUUGACAUCCUCUGACGGCCCUAGAGAUAGGGAGUUCCCUUCGGGGACAGAGUGACAGGUGGUGCAUGGUUGUCGUCAGCUCGUGUCGUGAGAUGUUGGGUUAAGUCCCGCAACGAGCGCAACCCUUGAUCUUAGUUGCCAGCAUUCAGUUGGGCACUCUAAGGUGACUGCCGGUGACAAACCGGAGGAAGGUGGGGAUGACGUCAAAUCAUCAUGCCCCUUAUGACCUGGGCUACACACGUGCUACAAUGGAUGGAACAAAGGGCAGCGAAGCCGUGAGGCCAAGCAAAUCCCACAAAACCAUUCUCAGUUCGGAUUGCAGGCUGCAACUCGCCUGCAUGAAGCCGGAAUCGCUAGUAAUCGCGGAUCAGCAUGCCGCGGUGAAUACGUUCCCGGGUCUUGUACACACNNNCCGUCACACCACGAGAGUUGUAACACCCGAAGUCGGUGAGGUAACCGUAAGGAGCCAGCCG